AGUUUUAAUUCUGUCUCUAAUCUCUGCAACAGCCGCGCUUCCCGGGUCGCGCGGCUCCCGCGCGCGAUCUGCCGCGGCCGGCUGCUGGGCAAAAAUCAGAGCCGCCUCCGCCCCAUUACCCAUCAUGGAAACCCUCCAGGAAAAAGUGGCCCCGGACGCGCGAGCCUGAGGAUUCUGCACAAAAGAGGUGCCCAAAAUGAAGACCCUGAUGCGCCAUGGUCUGGCAGUGUGUUUAGCGCUCACCACCAUGUGCACCAGCUUGUUGCUAGUGUACAGCAGCCUCGGCGGCCAGAAGGAGCGGCCCCCGCAGCAGCAGCAGCAGCAACAGCAGCGGCAGGCGUCGUCCACCGGCAGCUCGCAGCCGGCGGCGGAGAGCAGCACCCAGCAGCGCCCCGGGGUCCCCGCAGGACAGCGGCCACUGGACGGAUACCUCGGAGUGGCGGACCACAAGGCCACAGGAAAAUGAUGGAAUAUGCUGGAUGUGAUGACCACCAAGCCAUAUGCUGCUGCAUAUUGAAUCAGAAUUCCAACAGUCUUUUUUAUCUGCCGUUGAUUUACAUAGUCUGG
rnacentral:sRNA from 1 species